rnacentral:rRNA from 1 species
GACAGAGGCCUCAAGCGUUAGGCGGAAUCACUGGGCUUAAAGCGUGUGUAGGCGGAUUGCUAAGUACCUUGUGAAAUCCCACGGCUUAACCGUGGAACUGCUUGGUAUACUGGCUGUCUUGAGCCACUUAGGGGCGACCGGAACAAACGGUGGAGCGGUGAAAUGCGUAGAUAUCGUUUGGAACGCCAAAGGUGAAAACAGGUCGCUGGGAGUGUGCUGACGCUGAGACACGAAAGCCAGGGGAGCAAACGGG